rnacentral:misc_RNA from 1 species
CGCAGCCGCGGUAAUUCCAGCUCCAAUAGCGUAUAUUAAAGUUGUUGCAGUUAAAAAGCUCGUAGUUGAAUUUCGGGAUUGGCGCAUCGGUCGUGCCUCACGGGGUAUGAACUGGUGCAGUCAAUUUCUCACCUUCUGGAGAACCGCGAUGUCCUUAAUUGGAUGCCGCGGGGAACCAGGACCUUUACUUUGAAAAAUUAGAGUGUUUAAAGCAGGCAUUUUUGCUUGAAUACAUUAGCAUGGAAUAAUAAAAUAGGACGGCAUGGUUCUAUUUUGUUGGUUUCUAGGACCACCGUAAUGAUUAAUAGGGAUAGUUGGGGGCAUUAGUAUUCAAUUGUCAGAGGUGAAAUUCUUGGAUUUAUUGAAGACUAACUACUGCGAAAGCAUUUGCCAAGGAUGUUUUCAUUAAUCAAGAACGAAAGUUAGGGGAUCGAAGACGAUCAGAUACCGUCGUAGUCUUAACCAUAAACUAUGCCGACUAGGAAUCAGACGAUGUUAAUUUUUAAUGACUCGUUUGGCA